rnacentral:rRNA from 1 species
GACUGUUUACUAAAAACACAGGGCUCUGCGAAGUCUUCCAGACGACGUAUAGGGUCUGACGCCUGCCCGGUGCCGGAAGGUUAAGAGGAGGGGUGCAAGCUCUGAAUUGAAGCCCCGGUAAACGGCUGCCGUAACUAUAACGGUACUAAGGUAGCGAAAUUCCUUGUCGGGUAAGUUCCGACCCGCAUGAAUGGCGUAACGAUCUGGGCGCUGUCUCAACGAGGGAUCCGGCGAAAUUGAAAUACCUGUGAAGAUGCAGGUUACCCGCGGCAGGGCAAAAAGACCCCGUGGAGCUUUACUGUAGUUUGAUAUUGGACUGAGGUUCAGCAUGUGUAGGAUAGGUGGGAGACGUUGAAGCUGGGGCGCUAGCCUCGGUGGAGUCACCCUUGAAAUACCACCCUUGCUGGAUUUCGGCUCUAACAGCGGCCCGUUAUCCGGGCGCUGGACAGUGUCAGAUGGGCAGUUUGACUGGGGCGGUCGCCUCCUAAAAUGUAACGGAGGCGCCCAAAGGUACCCUCAGGCUGAAUGGAAACCAGCCGUAGAGUGCAAAGGCAUAAGGGUGCUUGACUGCGAGACCUACAAGUCGAGCAGAGACGAAAGUCGGGCUUAGUGAUCUGGUACCUCCGAGUGGAAGGGGUAUCACUCAACGGAUAAAAGCUACCCCGGGGAUAACAGGCUUAUGGUGCCCAAGAGUUCACAUCGACGGCACCGUUUGGCACCUCGAUGUCGGCUCGUCGCAUCCUGGGGCGGAAGUACGUCCCAAGGGUUUGGCUGUUCGCCAAUUAAAGCGGUACGCGAGCUGGGUUCAGAACGUCGUGAGACAGUUCGGUCUCUAUCCAUCGUGGGCGUAGGGAACUUGAGAGGAGCUGCUCCUAGUACGAGAGGACCGGAGUGGACGAACCAAUGUUGUACCAGUUGUCACGCCAGUGGCAUUGCUGGGUAGGUAUGUUCGGUUGGGAUAAGCACUGAAAGCAUCUAAGUGCGAAGCUCGCCUCAAGAUGAGGUUCCCCACCGGGUUAACCGGGUAAGACCGCAGCGAGACUAGCUGUUCGAUAGGCCGCACGUGUACGCGCAGCAAUGCGUUGAGCCAAGCGGUACUAAUGGUCGAGGGCUUGACCUA